UACGAAGGGGCUAGCGUUGCUCGGAAUCACUGGGCGUAAAGGGUGCGUAGGCGGGUCUUUAAGUCAGGGUGAAAUCCUGGAGCUCAACUCCAGAACUGCCUUUGAUACUGAAGAUCUUGAGUUCGGGAGAGGUGAGUGGAACUGCGAGUGUAGAGGUGAAAUUCGUAGAUAUUCGCAAGAACACCAGUGGCGAAGGCGGCUCACUGGCCCGAUACUGACGCUGAGGCACGAAAAGCGUGGGG
rnacentral:rRNA from 1 species